AUUGAACGCUGGCGGCAUGCCUUACACAUGCAAGUCGAACGGUAACAGGUCUUCGGAUGCUGACGAGUGGCGAUCGGGUGAGUAAUACAUCGGAACGUGCCUAGUAGUGGGGGAUAACUACUCGAAAGAGUGGCUAAUACCGCAUGUGAUCUACGGAUGAAAGCAGGGGAUCGCAAGACAUUUGGCUACUAGAGCCGCCGAUGGCAGAUUAGCUAGUUGGGGAGGUAAAGGCCCACCAAGGCGACGAUCAGUAGCUGGUCUGAGAGGAUGAUCAGCCACAUUGGGACUGAGACACGGCCCAAACUCCUACGGGAGGCAGCAGUGGGGAAUCUUGCGCAAUGGGCGAAAGCCUGACGCAGCCAUGCCGCGUGCAGGAUGAAGGCCUUCGGGUUGUAAACUGCUUUUGUACGGAACGAAAAGCCCUGGGUUAAUACCCUGGGGUCAUGACGGUACCGUAAGAAUAAGCACCGGCUAACUACGUGCCAGCAGCCGCCGUAACAC
rnacentral:rRNA from 1 species